rnacentral:rRNA from 1 species
UACGUAGGGGGCCAGCGUUGUCCGGAAUCAUUGGGCGUAAAGCGCGCGUAGGCGGCCAGAUAAGUCCGGUGUGAAAGUCAAAGGCUCAACCUUUGAAUGCCGCUGGAAACUGCCUGGCUUGAGUCCGGAAGGGGCGAGUGGAAUUCCCGGUGUAGCGGUGAAAUGCGCAGAUAUCGGGAGGAACACCAAUGGCGAAGGCAGCUCGCUGGGACGGUACUGACGCUGAGACGCGAAAGCGUGGGGAGCAAACAGG